CACGUAGGGUGCGAGCGUUGUCCGGAAUUAUUGGGCGUAAAGAGCUCGUAGGCGGUGUGUCGCGUCUGCCGUGAAAAUUCACAGCUUAACUGUGGACGUGCGGUGGAUACGGGCAGGCUUGAGUUCGGUAGGGGAGACUGGAAUUCCUGGUGUAGCGGUGAAAUGCGCAGAUAUCAGGAAGAACACCCGUGGCGAAGGCGGCUCUCUGGGACGGUACUGACGCUGAGACGCGAAAGCGUGGGGAGCGAACAGG
rnacentral:rRNA from 1 species